rnacentral:tRNA from 1 species
CCUGGUGGCCUAGAGGUUAAAGCGUCUGCCUGCAAUGCGGGAGACCUGGGUUCGAUCCCUGGGUCAGGA